rnacentral:rRNA from 1 species
UCGAGGAUCUUCGGCAAUGGGCGCAAGCCUGACCGAGCGAUGCCGCGUGAGCGAUGAAGGCCUUCGGGUUGUAAAGCUCUUUAGUGGGGGAGAAAAGCCGAAAGGUGUGAUCUAUCCCAAAAAUAAGCUCGGGCUAAGUUCGUGCCAGCAGCCGCGGUAAGACGAACCGAGCGAACGUUAUUCGGAAUAACUGGGCUUAAAGGGUGCGUAGGCGGGCUGUCAAGUCUGGGGUGAAAUCCGGCAGCUUAACUGUCGAACUGCCUUAGAUACUGAUGGCCUCGAGGAAGGUAGGGGCAUGCGGAACUGUAGGUGGAGCGGUGAAAUGCGUUGAUAUCUACAGGAACUCCGGUGGCGAAAGCGGCGUGCUGGACCUUUUCUGACGCUGAGGCACGAAAGCUAGGGGAGCAAACGG